GGGCCUGUAGCUCAGCGGUAAGAGCAGUCGGCUCAUAACCGAUUGGUCGCUGGUUCGAAUCCGGCCAGGCCCA
rnacentral:tRNA from 1 species